AGGCGUAGCUCAGUUGGUAGAGCAUCAGCCUUCCAAGCUGAGGGUCGCGGGUUCGAGUCUCGUCGCCUG
rnacentral:tRNA from 1 species